CAAUCUGCCCCUAAGACGAGGAUAACAGUUGGAAACGACUGCUAAGACUGGAUAGGAGACAAGAGGGCAUCUUCUUGUUUUUAAAAGACCUAGCAAUAGGUAUGCUUAGGGAGGAGCUUGCGUCACAUUAGUUAGUUGGUGGGGUAAAGGCCUACCAAGACUAUGAUGUGUAGCCGGGCUGAGAGGUUGAACGGCCACAUUGGGACUGAGACACGGCCCAAACUCCUACGGGAGGCAGCAGUAGGGAAUUUUCGGCAAUGGAGGAAACUCUGACCGAGCAACGCCGCGUGAACGAUGAAGUAUUUCGGUACGUAAAGUUCUUUUAUUAGGGAAGAAUAAAUGAUGGAAAAAUCAUUCUGACGGUACCUAAUGAAUAAGCCCCGGCUAACUAUGUGCCAGCAGCCGCGGUAAUACAUAGGGGGCAAGCGUUAUCCGGAAUUAUUGGGCGUAAAGGGUGCGUAGGCGGUUAAAUAAGUUUAUGGUCUAAGUGCAAUGCUCAACAUUGUGAUGCUAUAAAAACUGUUUAGCUAGAGUAAGAUAGAGGCAAGUGGAAUUCCAUGUGUAGUGGUAAAAUGCGUAAAUAUAUGGAGGAACACCAGUAGCGAAGGCGGCUUGCUGGGUCUUUACUGACGCUGAGGCACGAAAGCGUGGGGAGCAAACAGGAUUAGAUACCCUGGUAGUCCACGCCGUAAACGAUGAGUACUAAACGUUGGGUAAAACCAGUGUUGAAGUUAACACAUUAAGUACUCCGCCUGAGUAGUACGUACGCAAGUAUGAAACUUAAAGGAAUUGACGGGACUCCGCACAAGCGGUGGAUCAUGUUGUUUAAUUCGAAGGUACCCGAAAAACCUCACCAGGUCUUGACAUGCUUCUGCAAAGCUGUAGAAACACAGUGGAGGUUAUCAGUUGCACAGGUGGUGCAUGGUUGUCGUCAGCUCGUGUCGUGAGAUGUUGGGUUAAGUCCCGCAACGAGCGCAACCCUUAUUGUUAGUUACCAGCACGUAAUGGUGGGGACUUUAGCAAGACUGCCAGUGAUAAAUUGGAGGAAGGUGGGGACGACGUCAAAUCAUCAUGCCCCUUAUGACCUGGGCUACAAACGUGAUACAAUGGCUGUUACAAAGGGUAGCUGAAGCGCAAGUUUUUGGCGAAUCUCAAAAAAACAGUCUCAGUUCGGAUUGAAGUCUGCAACUCGACUUCAUGAAGUUGGAAUCGCUAGUAAUCGCGAAUCAGCAU
rnacentral:rRNA from 1 species